AAGCUGUGCAAAGCUGUCAGCCAAUACAAACCUCAUCCGGUUGGAGCUGUGCAGCCUCCUGGAGUAUUUUGCAUAGGGGAAGUGGCAGAAAGGGGAAACGUUUCAUCCAACAUGCAGCCUCCUGAUAAUAAGUCGACAUGCUGACUGUGCAGAAUGUCUGCAGAGGCUUGGGGCUGCAGAGUUUUACAAUAGGAAAGAGCCAGAGCAACAAACCGGAGUGGCCUCGUGUAAUCAAUAACGCUAUACAUUUCCCACUUUUCCAGACUAGGGGUUGUCAGUGCGGAUUCCACAGACGUGCAUUAUCACAGCAUGUUUGCAGACCGUCCACGCUAGGGAAUCGGUUAUAUGCUCGCAAAAUGGGUCUUGUAAAACCUUACAGUCGACCUCAAGGUAACAAGGUGGAGCACCCUAACCCCCUCCAUACCUCCAAGCACUAUGCACCCCCACCGCCACCACCAUCAUCAUCGUCGUGUCGUCGUCACUGGAGCACAUGGAAUCCCGUUAUGCUUAUGCACUAUUUUUUGUGUCACGAGACACGCAAGAGAACACAUGCUGUAUCUUUGGAAUUGCUCCCAAAAUUAAGUGCAAGCCAUCUGAAGUCGUGUGUGUUAAUCUCGUUGUCAUGCAGGACUCCUCCAGCUGGACAUCAGAAGAAUUGCAUAUGUUUGCUUUCUGGCUGGUCGGUACGCCGUUUACGUGCUUAAAAAAUUAUAAUGAUUUUAUUAUAAACAUGUAUUGAGCUAUAAUAUAUUCAUAGUUAAAGGGAGAGUGCGAGCGUAUUUUUUUUAUAAUAAAAAUAUAUCUUUAUAUUUAUAAUGAAGACAAAUAUAAUUAAACUACCGAAUUUUGAAAAUAUCUUUUAUUAUUAAUAAUUCUUGUCACAAUGUUCAAAAGGCAGUAUUUCCAUCAGAAUUAUUUUUUUUAUAUUAUCAUAAGCAAACUGAUCUUCAAAUUCUAUAUUUUAAUAACGUAAAAUGUUGCCUAAAUGUUGAUUGUUUUCUAGCUGUUUUAUUUAAUUAACUAAUGUUUUUAAAUAGGUGUUUAGAUGGAAAAAAACACACCAAAUCAUCUGGCGUGAUGGCGCAAUUUUGGUUUUAAUGAUGUGUGUGGCCUUGCAUGGUUUUAAUAAUUUCGAAAACAUGUACAGUGGCAUAAAUAAGCAGAUGGUCAUUUUUAUUUAGCGACAUUACAUUUACCACUUAUUGUGCACGUGAAUAGUUUCACUUUGCUACAUGAACUUUCAAAAUACAAGCUGCAAAUCUAAAUAUAAUAUCCGAAACUAAAUUACAAUAGAGAACGGUUCCCCUUGGCAGUUUAAAUAAAAGUUAUUGAACACUGCGCCAAUACCUUUCGCCCAAAAAAACAGAACAAUUUCCUUUUAUGUUGAAUGGUGUUGCGCUAAAAGAAAUCUCGCAUAAAACGAAAGAAAAAUACUUUAUUCAUAACCACCAAAAUAUAGUUUUUUUUAGGGUCGACCGCAAAAUGAAAACCGCGUGAAUGUCACUUUACUAACAGAAUUAAAAGCAUGAGAAUGGAAGUGGUUCAGAAAACGGAUGGAUCGUAUUUUGUAGCGUUUUAAUGGAAAAAGAGGGCAGCAACGUUACUGAUCAUUUAAUUAAACGGCUCCCUUUUGUUCAAAAAAAAUGUAGAGCGAGAUUCUAGAUAGCUUAAUAGUAAUUAAAAGUUUCACAAAAUGUUCUAAUUUUUUGUUUUUGAUGUCCCGCGACCCCCGUGGAGACAAGCGGUAUAGAAAAUUGAUGGAUGAAUGGGUUUUUGAUGUGAGGAUAUUAUGAGUGUAUAAUCAAUAAGCAUAAAACAUAAAAAAAAAAAAAAAAGGUGUUUGCUGAACAAACUUGGUCACCACCUGACACCAGCAAGGUGCAAUAAUUCCCCCACCCUUCCCUCCCAAACCCCCUCAGUAAAUAUUGGUGUUGGUUUAGUGUGUCAUCCAAGGAUUCCUUUCUUGAAUGUAUUUCGUCUUUAAAUACCCAUUAAGUUAUAUUUUAUUGUGUCAGAGUGAUAUUGCCCAUCCCCUCCCCACCCCCACCCCCCUUCAGUGAGCUAGAAAUAUUACCUGGACGAUGUGCUUUAUAUACAUUUAAACACUGACUUUUCAAAUCAGAUUUGCCUCGGACUUUAAUUGUUUAAAUGCAAACAACAGAACAUUUCAGAACGUAGCGUUGCUCAUAUUUCGGGGUAAGCCCAACCAAUUUACUGCAAUGCAGCCCCCCUUACUUCAGCCCAACCGUCAUGUAUUCGAGGUGAUGAUAUCUGCUUUUGAGUUUUUGCUAAAAUGGAGGCUAGGGGACAGCAAGCUGACUUCUUUUAUAGGCCCAAGCGCCACUUUGGGCUGUCGAACACGCCUAAUGAGGGUGUGCAGCGGUGCCAUGUGAGACAUGCCCGUUUUUACCAGGCUGGGUAAUAGCUUGUGACCUUCAAUAAACACGUCUCAUAUUUCUUCAUAUGUUCUCAGUAUUUACAUCUAAUUGUUACAUUAAGUUCUGUUUCCACAAUCUGCGACUUUUGUCAUUUAUACAGGAAAUAAUUAAGUCAUAGUUAAGUAGUGGAUGUUUGCACUUUCUUUUUUAUUUGCUCUUCUACCUGAACACAAUUUACUUGGAGGCAAGAGUGUUUCCUGUUAAUGCCACAUUAUAUUUUAUUCACCUUUCCGCUUGUGCCACGAAACUAACUCAAAAGCAGUUUUAUCCUGUUUAGCCUCCAAUUGUUCUCCUUUAUUGGUUAUUUGUGUUACAUAACAUUUGCUACUUUGGCACUUUAGAGACAAAUCUGACUUUGAUUUAAUUGGUAAUGUACUAUCACAAUGUUAUUUAUUUAUUUAUUUAUUUAUUUAUUUAUUUAUUUAUUUAUUUAUUUAUUUAUUUAUUUAUUUAUUUAUUUAUUUAUUUAUUUAUUUAUUUAUUUAUUUAUUUAUUUAUUUAUUUAUUUAUUUAUUUAUUUAUUUAUUUAUUUAUUACUUUUAUUUUUUUAUAUCUAUUUUUCAUUUCUGUCGCUUCUUAGCAUUCACAUGCUGUGCUUCCUCAUGGCCCCAAAAGUGAUGUUAACUUGCACUGCAAAACUUCAGGAAGAACAGGUGUGGUGUCCCCAUUUGUUUUUAGAUGUGUUAUCCUGAACAGAUAAAGGAGAACUUGCACUACCACAAUAGGUUACAAUCAGGUCUGGGCAGUAAGUGUCACAGUUGGUCCAGAACAGUGUAUGUGUUUGCUUUCAGAAAACAAAGAUAGCAGCCAAGAUACGGAAAAAUAACUUCAUGAGGAUUUGAUUUGAAAUUCUAUUUUAGUCCAAAAUUGACUUUUUUUUUCCCACCACAAGAUGAGAGUCGGUAACUUUUGCUAAAACACAAAGAUGUCAGUGGCUAGAAUACCAUGCAACAAAAGGAUAAUGUUUUUCUGGCAUUUUGAAAUAACUUUCGUAACAUUCAUUAAUUGAAUAUAGUGAUCAUUAAUCCGCAAAUCUCUUGAAGGCCUAUACUUUGAAAGUACUUCAAUAUUUAAUAUCAUUAAUAUGAGUGCACAGUGCUUCUCAUGUGAGAGCCAUGUUAGAAAAUAAUAAAAUGUUGACAAUAACAAUAAUGUCAAUGCUACUUCGGAGAUCUGACACAGUACGUGUGGUGUUGUUCAGUGUCUAUUAUAGCUUAAUUGUUUACCAUUCAGUGUUGUGUGAUGUUUAUUUUCAUUUUAUAUUCCAAGCUAUUUAAUGCUAUUUCAGUCCGUUUUUUCCUCAUUCAUAUUGACGUCAGCAAUCAAAUUGAUGUUGAAGUCCUUUGGAUAUUUCUUUUUGCAAACUAUACUUCUAUUUAGAGUGGGCUCGGUAAUUAAGAAGGGUGGUUUUGGGUGGGUCGAGCUGCUACAUGGUGAAUCAAGAUAAUGGCACUUUUUUUUUCCCAGCUCAAGCCUCUUGUCUAAACAUGGCAAACGAAAAACGCCCAAACCUGAUUUUCAAACUGCAGUUAGCAAUCCAUCCCAUGUUCUCAACAGAAUUUAAUUGAACUCUUCAAAUUGUUGUGACUUACUCAAAUGAGAAUCUCUAAUGCCGUUAUAGAUUGAUUUAUAUUGAACAAAAUAAUCUUAUCUUUGUGAACUGUUUUUGAUGUUGUUAUCGAAACCAGAUUGUUUCGUUGAAGAACUUUAGAGGGACUUGUACAGGUUAUAAUAAAUAAAAAAAAAUGGUGAAUGCACGGUGGGAAGCAUUGUCUUCAGCUGGUUGAAGUCGAAAGUUUGUAAUGGUUGCGUGCACAUUUGAGUCCGUCUAUAGUUGUCUGUUGUUAGCUUGUGCAACUUUGCUGGUCUGUUACCAAUUAGUGGAGGAACCUAAUUACUUUGGGAGCACUUCAGACUUCAUCUACAGCUGCUGCUGAUUCAUGCGUGUUCUGCUUGGAUAUCAGCCACAGACUUAAAAAUUGUAGGUCACACAUGGUUGUUGACAUAAGCCUUGUACACAAUCUUCAUUUCACGUCUGCUCUGAUGUUUAACAUUAACUUUUGACUUUCAGCUCCGUACCUUUUUUUUCUUAUUUACGCUUUGUGCCGUCCUUCAGGUGAAAUUUCUCUCCAUCUUCGGUUUCACGACUCAAAUGCAGCUUUGACACAUCUAAUAACAGGCUUGCCUUCAUUUGUGGACUUUAAACUGAAAAUGCAAAUUGUGUGUCAUGAAUUGCUGCAAGACUGUGUCUUUAAGAAUCCUGAAUCCAUUAUGGAGGAAUCUGGAAAGGGCUAUUCAAGGCCUUCUAUCAGAGGCAGUGUGAUAUUGUUUUCCGCCAAACCAGAAAUCAAGGACUUGGAAAAAUCUUCUUUAUGUCAGGAAUAGGGGUAAUGUAUUUGCUCUGACAGCUGCUGCUUUUAAGAUUAAUAGCCUUAUGAAAACCGGGUGUCUUCUUCCCAAAACCAGGCCCUUUAUCAUUCAGUGAGACCUCCUCACAGAGCCAAAAUUAAAGUCACAACACAGGGGAACUGUGUGUUUGUGUGCGCGCAGACCUUGGUUGCCAAGUAUCAUGUCUUUUUUCAUCAAUACUGAAUUAACUCAGUCCUACUCUCUCAGAGUCCGUUUAAGACUUUCUACUUUUUCAACUCAUGUAUUUGUCAAUGUUGAUCUUGGAGUCAGGGCCAGUGGAGGUCACCCAGGAAUCGAGUGAGCAGGAUCUGGAUGUCAAGGCAUCUCAAAUGAAUCUUCUUUCUGCAGCAUAACGAGACAAGUUUUUUUUUGCUUCCGACUCGGUGGCAGGAUGCUUUUUUGGACAAUGUUGACAGUGGCACAAGACACAAAGCAACAUCCAUAAAAGCACACUUGGAUGUGGCUGGUGAGGAAGAACUUGAGCCACCAAACACUUUUUACGAUGACCCAAAACAAAGACAAAAAUCCAUCUGAGACCAACAGCAGGAUUUUUUUUCUUCAUAAUCUCCACUUCCAGUGUUGGUAUUUCCUAAAUCUCAAAACGAAAUAAUAGUCAUCAUGACUUCUCUCCUGGUGGCCCACAGAGAUCUGGCCUUGUACUAUGACCUCACUGAACCACAUGCUCAUAAAUACGCUCCCUUAUUUCUACCCUUGCGUGCUUGCCAGUUAGGGCGAGAAGUGGGUUUGUUUUGGGUGUCCUGUGUAUAUUCCCGCAAUAGCCGUGCUUUCAGGACGUCCUGAAUCACACACACUCUGUAUUCCUUGCCUGUGGUCACCUGUCAUGGAGGUAUUCUGCUGAAAGCUGUAUAACCGGAGUCCAGCGUCCGCAUAAUGGACACUUGUUUGUCCUGCCGCUGAUGGUUUAAUUAACUCUAUGUCCGUCCUCUGUGAAUUGUAAUGCUGUCCACAUUCAACAGAGCCACACCUGUAAAUGGACCUUUAAGCGCAGAUGUGUAGGUGCCUAAUGUCAGAACCUCAGCCCACAUGGUUAUUUUUUGGUCAAAUGUGGAGACGUUGUCUUUCAACUCGUGAAAAAUUACUAUUUAUUUUACGGUUAGCGCAUAUUUCAGGAAUCCCUCGUUUCUCUCAUCGGCAUGCCGGCGUUUAGCAAGAAUAAGUUCAUGCCUUUUAAAAACUAAUGAAGCAGCUUGGAUACAUUUGAUAUGUUGGGAGCAUUUCAAGCUGACAGCGUGAGGUAAAGAUCAGUUCACUUUUCUAUAGGGGGAGCUGAGCGCACUCAUCCUGGUGGUGAAAUGUCUGACAUGUUUGCACUGAGUUAGGACAGACAGGUCUGAAACCAAGUCCGGACUUGCAGGCAGAGAAAAAGCCCCUCAAUGCUCCCCCGUUUUUCCAAGGAGGCGAGUCCACCCCCCACCACCUCCCAAGGGUGACAGCUUCCUUCGUUCGUGCGGCCAUCACCUAUAUAGUAUUAAUUGACAUCCAUUGUCUAUUGUUUUCACAGAGACUGUUGCUCAUUUAAAUCAAUGCACAAGGAAGAAGCACGGUGAAAUGAAAAACAUUGUUUGCCAUCACAAAUGGUAGGAGAGAAGAGGGGAAGUGAACGAAGGUCAAAUAGAAAGCUUUAAAUUAAUGACUCGAGAAUUUAAUGUUUCACCACUUAUUGAGCCAAAGUAAAAAUCAUCUUCGUAUUAUUAAUAAAAAUAAUAUGAAUAGAGUAAGUUGAAAAUGGAUGGAAGGAUAUUAUUAUGUUAUAUAGAAAUAUAUUUCAUUAUAUUUAUGAAUUAAGAGUUAGGAUUUGCAACAAGUGGAAUUUUAUUUCUGAAACGUCAUAGUUAAAUGUCAACGCAUGGUAAAAUCUGUAUUGUGCAAGCUUUUAUUGGUCAAACCUAAAAACAAAACAUGAAAAUAGCUCAAAAAUCUGGUGUGCUAGAAAAAAGGGAAAAAAAUCAAUCAGCUUAAAAAAUAAAUAAAUAUAAUAGAUAUAACAAUAAUAAUAUAAAAAUAAUAAUAAUAGUAAUCUUUUGAAUAAAUUGUGGUUAUAAAUUUCAUUUUUAAUAUAUAUUUUUUUCCAUGUAGGUAUUUCACGUGAUAUGUAUUUUGAUUUCAUUUUUUCUGAAAGCAAAUCAAUCACAAAAUGACAUAUUUGAAUUAAAAUAUGUAUUACUGAAACUUAUUCUUCUUUAUUUUAUUCUAUUUUUCCAAUUUGUAUUGUAUUUUACUUUAACCAUUACCACCUACUGUCAGCCAUAUCGAUAUUUGUACCUUGCAGUUGUUUUGGUUUUGUGAAAAACCUGAUGUUGAAUAUAAUAACCGGAUAACCCAUGUCUUAUUUCAUUAUCCUUAAUAGUCAAUAUUGGCUGCGACCGGUUGCAUAAAUUCUACCUGCUGUAUUGUGACCAUAUUCAGGAACCUGAUACAUUGAAGAAGAUUAGGUGUCAAAUGCCCUCUAGUGGCCAUUGUAUGUAUGAACAAAGCCACGUACAAAAUAUAUUUCCAAGAACUGUGGUGUUGGAGUUUAGUUCGUGAAAACAUGCCAGUAACUACUUAAUUCCUCCUUUCAACUGAAAGGUGCCAAGAACACAUGAUGUAUUAUGAUUUACUAGUAAGAUUGAGAACCCAUGUUCUUUGUGAGUGUUGCGAUCAUAAUUAAAGAUAAGCCAUUGUGAUAUUAUUUUUCCGAAUAAAAAAAAUUCAGUGCCAUUGACUGAUUUCCCUGCAGGCCCAUAUCAAAUCUUCAGGUAAAUAUGGGUCCUGACAACUUCCUUCAAUGCUUGAAGUAUAAUAAAAUGUCAAGGAGAGUGUAAAUAGAGGGUAUGUUUUUUCAUUAUUUAUUUUUUAGAUAUAUUUUAAAUUCAUUACCCCAGCGUCAAUAUGAGCAAUGAGUAAAUGAUGAAGGGGGGGGCACACAGAACCACACACUUCCUUUUUAUUAUGAUUAUUCCUAUUUUUUUAGAAGCUCAUCUUGGUGUCAAAGAGCAUGUGCACCGUAAUCUGAUUCUCUCGAACUUGCAAUGAUUUGCAGCAAAUGUGACAGGAGUGUUCAAGUAUGCAUUUCACAUUAAAAGCCCCUCGACAUGUCAGAUUAACAAAUUGGCACUGUCUCGUUUUCUGUAUGCUUCGUUUUCUUUUUCUUUCAACAUAACUGAGCUCUCUGUGUGUUUUGAGUUCAUGUUAUUGUGGUGUCUAUGACAACCAAGCCGCACUUUUUCAUUUUGCAAAUGUCUUUGUAUCUUUAACCUAGCUGGGAAACAUUCAGAAUUUCUUUUUGACUGUUGUGUAUAGGGGACAUCAAAAUAAAAUCAUCAAGUGUCUCAUCCCAAAACUUAA